UACGUAGGGUGCAAGCGUUAAUCGGAAUUACUGGGCGUAAAGCGUGCGCAGGCGGUUAUGCAAGACAGAUGUGAAAUCCCCGGGCUCAACCUGGGAACUGCAUUUGUGACUGCAUGGCUAGAGUACUGUAGAGGGGGAUGGAAUUCCGCGUGUAGCAGUGAAAUGCGUAGAUAUGCGGAGGAACACCGAUGGCGAAGGCAAUCCCCUGGACCUGUACUGACGCUCAUGCACGAAAGCGUGGGGAGCAAACAGG
rnacentral:rRNA from 1 species